GACGAACGCUGGCGGCGUGCCUAAUACAUGCAAGUUGAGCGCUGAAGGUUGGUACUUGUACCAACUGGAUGAGCAGCGAACGGGUGAGUAACGCGUGGGGAAUCUGCCUUUGAGCGGGGGACAACAUUUGGAAACGAAUGCUAAUACCGCAUAAAAACUUUAAACACAAGUUUUAAGUUUGAAAGAUGCAAUUGCAUCACUCAAAGAUGAUCCCGCGUUGUAUUAGCUAGUUGGUGAGGUAAAGGCUCACCAAGGCGAAGAUACAUAGCCGACCUGAGAGGGUGAGCAGCCACAUUGGGACGGUGACACGACCCAAACUCCUACGGGAGGCAGCAGUAGGGAAUCUUCGGCAAUGGACGAAAGUCUGACCGAGCAACGCCGCGUGAGUGAAGAAGGUUUUCGGAUCGUAAAACUCUGUUGGUAGAGAAGAACGUUGGUGAGAGUGGAAAGCUCAUCAAGUGACGGUAACUACCCAGAAAGGGACGGCUAACUACGUG
rnacentral:rRNA from 1 species